AAAUCCUUGCCCCCUUCUUCAUUUCAGUCAAAUUCUCAUCUUCUUUCUCUCCCCAACUUCUUUAUUUACCAUUAUUUUCACCCAAAACUUCUCCACAACUUCAACAUAACAUGUCAACCAUCAUCUACUAUCUGAACCCGCAUAUGAUUCAUGAGAGAUCGAAGAACGUUAGGCUUCGUGAGGUUGUAGAUGAUCAACAAUAGGUUCUUAAUAUAUCCAGUAAUAGUGAGAGAUACAUGGAGGAGCUACAUUAUAUGUAUAACGUACCUAUUGUACCUCCACCGGUUCAUAGGGGAUGUGCUCGAGUGGAAGAAGCUAAACUCGAUUAGGUUUACUAUAAUGUGGAAGAAGUGUCUUCUAUGACACAUACCCAAAGUCAAACUAGUUAUGGUAGUCCAAUGACGAUGAUGUUAGUAUUUGGCCCAUGGUAUUAUGAUUCAAGGGGUUUGUACAUGAUAUUUUGAUUGAGGAGUCAGUCCAUCUUCUUCAUACAUGUGGUUGUCGGUCCAUCAACUUCAUACAUACAUGGACACAAACAGGGUCAUGGAGAACAUAAUGAAUAUCUAUACUAUGAACCAUUUAUAGAAGUAUAUCAGAUCCACAAGAGUACCAACAAGAACCCGAGAAUCAAGAUGAUCAACAAGAGCCAUAUAUAGUUCAAAGUUGACGAUGAUAAUCAGCUUGAAAUCGACGACAUUCGGGUUGUGAGACACAUUGAUUUUUUUUUUCAAAAUUGAUGUAAAACAUUGAUACAUACAUUUUAAUUUAGAUUUAAUUUUUUAUUUA